GCAACGGCAAAAUCCGCUGCCGAGAUUGGCGUCUCGAAAAUAUCUACGGAGCCGACCCACGCUCUAGCGUGGUUUUU
rnacentral:sRNA from 2 species